rnacentral:sRNA from 1 species
UGGCGCUGGUGACCGGCGCGGCUCAGGGCAUAGGCAGAGCCUUUGCAGAGGCGCUGCUGCUUAAGGGCGCCAAGGUAGCGCUGGUGGAUUGGAAUCUUGAAGCAGGUGUACAGUGUAAAGCUGCCCUGGAUGAGCAAUUUGAACCUCAGAAGACUCUGUUCAUCCAGUGCGAUGUGGCUGACCAGCAACAACUGAGAGACACUUUUAGAAAAGUUGUAGACCACUUUGGAAGACUGGACAUUUUGGUCAAUAAUGCUGGAGUGAAUAAUGAGAAAAACUGGGAAAAAACUCUGCAAAUUAAUUUGGUUUCUGUUAUCAGUGGAACCUAUCUUGGUUUGGAUUACAUGAGUAAGCAAAAUGGAGGUGAAGGCGGCAUCAUUAUCAAUAUGUCAUCUUUAGCAGGACUCAUGCCCGUUGCACAGCAGCCGGUUUAUUGUGCUUCAAAGCAUGGCAUAGUUGGAUUCACACGCUCAGCAGCGGUGAGGCUACAACAACCGUCAUAUCUCAUUUUCUCUUUGUACACAUUUAUAAAACAUGAAUUCUGUAGAGAGGAAUCACUUGAGAAAUCACUUGGAUGAAAGGUGGAAAAAUGACAUACCUCCAUCUCAAUUAUAAAAAGUUAUCAGAUCACAUAAAGAACCAAAUAAAUAAUAGAUCAUUUUUAAA